rnacentral:rRNA from 1 species
CCUACGGGAGGCAGCAGUGAGGAAUAUUGGUCAAUGGACGAGAGUCUGAACCAGCCAAGUAGCGUGAAGGAUGACUGCCCUAUGGGUUGUAAACUUCUUUUAUAUGGGAAUAAAACGUUCCACGUGUGGGAUUUUGUAUGUACCAUAUGAAUAAGGAUCGGCUAACUCCGUGCCAGCAGCCGCGGUAAUACGGAGGAUCCGAGCGUUACCCGGAUUUAUUGGGUUUAAAGGGAGCGUAGGUGGAUUGUUAAGUCAGUUGUGAAAGUUUGCGGCUGAACCGUAAAAUUGCAGUUGAUACUGGCAGUCUUGAGUACAGUAGAGGUGAGCGGAAUUCGUGGUGUAGCGGUGAAAUGCUUAGAUAUCACGAAGAACUCCGAUUGCGAAGGCAGUUCACUGGACUGCAACUGACACUGAGGCUCGAAAGUGUGGGUAUCAAACAGGAUUAGAUACCCCAGUAGUC